GCGUUCCCAGCUCCAUAGGCUUUCAUCCAAGACGCCACGGCUCCCUGUAAACGGCAAUUAUGUCUUUUAACACCCUGUUCGCCCCAUUUAAUGGAGAAGAAAAAUGAGGAGGAGAAAGAUCCAUUGCUUAAGAGAGAGCCACCAACAAGGGAUGAUGCCUGUGGCCUGCCGAGACCAGUUCUGUCUGCAGUUCUGUCUGCAGUGAGCAAAAGGCAGCUGGCUUCUCCAGUGUCAGGCUCAGCAGUCUCUGCCAUCCUUGAUUUCCUGAGCCCCUGGGUUCACAAAAUGGGGAUGGUAGGGGAUGUUGAGUCCCCAGACGUCCUCAGAAUCCUUGCCUGUAAGACAUAGGACGU
rnacentral:lncRNA from 1 species